rnacentral:misc_RNA from 2 species
CAACCCCUAAGCACAGCUUAUUGUUGGGCGUCUACUCCGGUAGUGCCUCAAAGACAUUGGCGGAGCGGCAGUAGUCCUCUGAGCGUAGUAAUUCUUUAUCUCGCUUUUGUCAGGUGCUGCCCCCCGGCCGUAAAACCCCCCAAUUUUUUCU